GCUGGGCAUAGUGGUGCACACCUGUAAUCCCAGUGGCUCGGGAGGCUGAGAUAGGAGGAUCAUGAGUUCAAAGCCAAUCUCAGCAAAAGUAAGGUGCUAAGCAACUCAGUGAGACCCUGUCUCUA
rnacentral:sRNA from 1 species